UAGAAUUGAACUGAACAUACAAAAAUUUCUCCUCUUAGUUUGUCCUUGGCAAAGAAAAAGACAUCCAUGAAAAACUUUAGAGGGUUUCUUCUGGAGAAAGAAUCAGCGUGGCUUUCCUGUGCCUGCUGUUUCUUUUAAAAUCCUCAUCAACAGCUGUGAUCCUGGAUUGACAGCAGCAGAGCAAAAAGACUGACGUUUUGUGAAAGGAGUGGUCUAUCUUUUUAUGUCCUUUAAAGAAGAAUGACGAAUUAAGAAUUUGAGUUGUGGAGUUUGCCACAAUAAGAUCCCCUCUAACGAUGGCAGCAUGUUGUUUAAGAGCGCAUGCCCACUUGAGAAGUCAUGCAAGUCAUUUUGCUGCAUUAUCCUCAUUGAUUUGGAGUCCAAGCCUGCAGAGAACCACCCAGCCGGAUUCCCCGCCCCCCCACUAACUCCAAUGGGAGUUCAGCAACUUCAGUGUUAGUGGCCAUGAUCUUGAAAGUUUGAGGCCAAUAUUCCUGACAACCUUUUCAUGCAUGAACAUCCUUACAGCAAAAGAAAUACGAUUACAGAGAGCCAAAUCCUGGUCAGCUGAUUUACCAAGUAUUCCCAACACCACACAUGAAAGAGGUGACCACAGAUUGGCCCGAAGAAUGUAUAUUUUAUCUGGAUUAAUGGUGAUGUUUUACAAGCUUUUUUAAUUUUAAAGCAGGGGUAGAAAAUCUGAGCUAAAAAUACCAGACAGACAAUUAUAGACACUCGGGGGGAGGAGGGGAAGACUCCCCUCAUUUUAUUAAAAUAUUCUAACUCUUAAGACAUGAUUUUGCAUUUUCCCAAGCCGACGUUCUUAUUUCUUGUUAGAGACCAAUUUCCCAACCCUGUAGUUGUCAUUCAGCCAAAUCCUGGUCACCUUAGUCACAGGAGCAGUCUCAUUCACGUCCUCUCAUAACUAAAUUUACCCUGCGUGGAGAACUAGCAAGGAUUUCACACCACUUCAGCUUAAUGGGACUUAAAUGGUGCAGAAUGCCUUCUGCAGGCACUCUACAACAUACAAUCAGUCCUGCUGAUUUUUCAUGGUCAAGGUGACCCCUUGAGGAUAGUUAAGCAGGAUCUGGUGCAUAUAUUUGUUGUUUUUCCUUUAUGUUUCCGUUUAAAUAAAUAAUUCCUCUUUUCACUGUGUCUUUAGGAACCAGGCAGAAACACUGGAAAACAUAGAUACUAAAGUAGUAGUUUCCCCAACAGAAACAGUGACCAUGUGUGAGCUCUCAAAGUUCCUCUGUACUCAAUGUGAUAUUUCAGAGGUUCAGCAAGUUUAUUCUGCUGCAUAAAUACCGAGCUGGCAGCAAAAUAUUUAUAUGGCCCAUUUCUCACAUACCCAGUUCACCAGCUAAUCAUAAUCACAUUAUUUUUAGAUUGCUUUGACAAACUGCCUGACUAAACAGUGGUUUAAAAAAAUUAAAAACACUGAAGAAAAAGGGUUAUAUUUGCACAUAUCUUGUUGUCUCCACUUCAUUUUUCCAAAAGAAGUCUAGAUUGAAUGCUCCUACUGUAGUUUUCUGUUAC